rnacentral:rRNA from 1 species
UACGUAGGGUGCGAGCGUUGUCCGGAAUUAUUGGGCGUAAAGAGCUCGUAGGCGGCUUGUCGCGUCGGCUGUGAAACUCGGGGCUCAACCCCGAGCCUGCAGUCGAUACGGGGCAGGCUGGAGUCCGGCAGGGGAGACUGGAAUUCCUGGUGUAGCGGUGAAAUGCGUAGAUAUCAGGAGGAACACCGGUGGCGAAAGCGCUCAUCUGGCCCAAUGACUGACGCUGAGGCGCGAAAGCUAGGGGAGCAAACGGG